rnacentral:lncRNA from 1 species
UUUUUGAGAAUCAUGAUGAGGCAUUAAAGAAGAGGAGGAGUGUCUCAAGGGAGGUGAGCUGGAGGUGAUGCAAGGAUGUCUGAUCUGAAAGCAUGUUGUGGUCCGCUACACACAAGAGCAAAAGAAGAGCAGGAAGGAGCUCAGUGCCAAGACCAUAGCCACAGGAAGAAAACCAGCUCUUAGGGCUGCAGCUCUAAAGACAGGCCAGGUCAUUACAGGAACGUCUGCUCCCUUAGCCUUGCCAGACAGAGGAGGGUUAAGAAAGGAACUGCUGACCCUGAUAUGCAAACUGCCACGAGUGCUUCCUGCCUUUCUAUCAGCAUCAGAUGGCUAGCGAUGGAUGGCUGUAAGAUUGAUGUAAUUAACAUUUUAUUUUCAGGGCCACAGUGCUGGUUGGGUGCACCAGACAAAUCAACCAACAGAUUAAAGAGUGAUGGAGAAAGCUGUGUUUUGGGCCUCAUUUGGGAACAGAAUGGAAGAGCUGAGGGUGGAAGGGACCUCAGCAAGUCUUCUGAUCCAUGUUUCAACCUUCAUUUCCCCGAUAACCUCAAGGAGAGAGUUGCUUUUCCUGUUCUUCAAAUGAGUUCCUUGAAUUCACACUCUAUUUCUUUGAAUUUGCACAGACUGUUGAGGAACAGGCGGCAGGGUCACUCUA